rnacentral:lncRNA from 1 species
GCAGUGUAAUGUUAUAAUAUGUUUUUUUAUGUCCACAAGGGAACUUUAUGAACAGGUUCCUGUUUGGUUCUGGCAACCGGGGAACUAAACAAAACCUCCACAGGACCAUGACACAAUGUCUUGACGACCAUUUCGUGAUGUUCCCAGGAAGUCCUAAGGACACAUUUUUGUUUCCAGUAUAAGUGUGGGAAAUUAUACAGAAACAAACAGGAAGAUUUGUGGGAAAAUCUUUUGUUUUACAUUUCUGUCCCACACACAGACACAUACACACCUGCCCUCCCUUGGAUGACAAAAAAGGAAUCGAGAAAAGCAAUGAAUGAUGGGGGGGAAUGGAAUUUUGCCAAAAUGAUCGUUUCCCUUUUCAUCUAGAAAAACAAACACUGAAAGUCAUUGCUAUAUAUGGCCUACUGGUAAUUCAAGCUCUGGGGUUUUUACAUCUUGUUUGGGUUGGGUUGGUACAAUAUUGAUACAACGUUGAUACAACCAAAACACAACAUUGGGAUAACAUCAGAUCCAGCCAUCCACCUGACAUUACCUCCUUCUACCAUUGGAACUCUUUAAAGGCUCUGAGAAGAAUGUAACGUUUUUAAAACCAUUUUCUACCAACCAUUCAGUCACAGGAAAUUGCUAGAUAAUCUCCCAUGUCAGUCAUCAUCUUAACAUGACCUUUGGAAAACCAACCAAUCGGUCAUGUUUUUUCUAUUGUGUGAAUUAUACUGUACUUCUGGUAUUCCAUGUGCAGUUUUUAAUAAUAAUCUGUUGUUAAUUAUGUUGGUGUAAUCAUGGGUUUUAUGAUGCCUUGAGGAAGCUUCAGCUUGCUAUAUUUAGACUGUUAUCUCAUCCUGUCAUCCUCCUCUCCUCUCUUCCCAAGGCAGUUUAUAGUGGGCCAAUUGGCUUCUCUGAUCACACUGAUAAUGAUAAUGUAGAUGGAUAAUGCAGAUGGGAUUAUUAAAAUCCUCAUUUACAUAAGAUUAUAUUAAUUUGAUCACUGGCUGUUUAUUUUCCUCCACUGAGAGGUCCAGAGGCAGAAGGCAUGGAGUACAGGGCCUAUUAUUAUGAGACAACCAAUCACCAUCUACCAUCCCCUGACCAGCUCCCUCGCCUCAAGCCAUGAACUGACCCUCUCUAUCUUCAGAGGAUACAGCUUUCAAAAACAUGGCCUCUAUUGGUUGACCUGGACUCUACUGGUUGACCCGGCCUCUACUGGUUGACCCGGCCUCUACUGGUUGACCCGGCCUCUACUGGUUGACCCGGCCUCUACUGGUUGACCUGGCCUCUACUGGUUUACCUGGCGUCUACUGGUUUACCUGGCGUCUACUGGUUUACCUGGCCUCUACUGGUUGACCCGGCCUCUACUGGUUGACCCGGCCUCUACUGGUUGACCUGGCCUCUACUGGUUGACCCGGGCCUCUACUGGUUGACCUGGCCUCUACUGGUUUACCUGGCGUCUACUGGUUUACCUGCCAUGAUAUAUUGCUUGUUUGUUUUUCGCUCUAUGAUUCUAUGAAAAGAGCUAUAGAAAUGUAAUAAAUGAUUAUUAAUGCUGAUCCUAUUUUUACUAUGGUGAUGAGUGUGGGUGGGUUAUACUGUAGCCUAGUUGUACACCUACAGUCAGUUAUUGAGACUCCGGUGUGAGAGAGAGACAAACACCUGAUACAGAGACCUACAACACAACAUAACGUUUUUCAGUCGAGCUAAAGUCUCUAUUGCACAGUUAGACAACCUUCCCUUUCUACGUUACAGUGAUCAGUCCCUAACCCACCAGUUGUUUCACUAAUCAUUAUUUGAUUUAACUUGAUGUGUCGUUCUUUCUCAUAUCUGGCAUAAUGAGGCUUUGAUUAGACACAUUUGUACAUUUUUCGAUUUCAUUUUUCCUAAAGUAACAUCUGAUGCUUCUCUCCAGUAAAGUUGCCAUAUGUUGACAAUAGAGAAAGUUGUUUCACAGAGCCAAAACCUUAUGUUGUCAUCAAUGAUAUCAGUCAAAUGUAACUUGGUAAGAGUCUAAUAUAGUGUCAAAUUCAAUCUGCGCAGAAAUGCAAGAACAUGAUUUCUUGACUUAAUUACAAUACUAAAAUCUAAAUGCUGAGCAGUGACAGAACAUGAACGUGUAUUGGAACUGUCAGCAGAGCGGUUUGGCGGUGAGGAGCUGGCUGGGUCACCAUCUAGUGUUGGGAGUAGGGAAGUGCAGUCUGAACACGGGUGUUGUGGUUUCCUCAAGGCAACACUGUAUUUUGGGCUUACAGUCUGUUGUACGUGCUUUUGUAUCUGUGGGAGAACAGCAAUGCCAAGGUCCUCUCUGGCCUUUUACAACCAUUCCAGCAAACACACAUUUUUAUCAACAAUGUAUUUGAUACUAGUGUAAACAUACACACGACAACAACAGAGGUCCAACCAUGACACUUGUACAAUGACGACAAACAAAACCAAAAUCAGCAUUGUUCUUUCAACAUCUGAUUUACUGUAAUGUAAAGCUCCACUGUAUUCUGGGAUUUGGUGUCUUAAUUUGUAUCAAAGUUGGGAUUAGAGUUGCGGGUGGCAGGUGCCAGGUAGCAUAGCGGCUAGAGCGUUGGGCCGGUUGCUGGUUCGAAUACCUGAGCCAACAAGGUGAAAAAUCUGUCUGUGUCCUUGAGCAAGGCACUUAACCCUAAUUAGCUCCAGGGGCGCUGUACUACUAUGGCUGACCCUGUAAAACAACACAUUUCAUUUCACCUAUCUGGUGUAUGACAAUAAAACAUGUUUUUGUUGAAUUUGAGAAUCAUGUUUGGUUAUAAGGGCCUCAUGCUUUCUCAGAACAACACACAUAUGUAUUAAUACAUAUUAUUAUUGUAUUAUACAGCUGUGAACUCACACAGUCCCCUGUACGGUGUACAUUUUAGGACACACAGUCCCCAAGAUGCUCUUUACGAUAAGACAGAAAAAGUGCAAUUACCUUAGCUGACCUGGUCAAUUCUCUAGUACUGUCGCUCUCAUCCAGAGGCUGACUCUCUGGAGACAUGAUGAUUAUUUCUACAUUUUCUGUGUUGUAUUUAUUUAUUUUGAAGAAAAAUAUUUGUUUGCAUCAAAAGAGACCCUUUCAAAUUGUGAUUUUAUUCAAGUAAUACUAGCAGUACCCAACUCCAGUUGAGCUUCCUCCUGGAAAGCAAUUCCACCUCUGUGUGUUCUCCUGUACUGACUUUUUCACACUGUCUUAGUUAUUGUCGGAUUCAAGACUCUUUGAAAGGGAGUGGUAAUACACUGAGGCCAGGCUUAAAGUAAACCACACUGCGCUUGGCUUUUA